AUUGAACGCUGGCGGCAUGCCUUACACAUGCAAGUCGAACGGCAGCACGGGAGCAAUCCUGGUGGCGAGUGGCGAACGGGUGAGUAAUAUAUCGGAACGUGCCCAGUCGUGGGGGAUAACGUAGCGAAAGCUACGCUAAUACCGCAUACGAUCUAUGGAUGAAAGCGGGGGAUCGCAAGACCUCGCGCGAUUGGAGCGGCCGAUAUCAGAUUAGGUAGUUGGUGAGGUAAAGGCUCACCGGGCCGACGAUCUGUAGCUGGUCUGAGAGGACGACCAGCCACACUGGGACUGGGACACGGCCCAGACUCCUACGGGAGGCAGCAGUGGGGAAUUUUGGACAACGGGCGCAAGCCUGAUCCAGCAAUGCCGCGUGCAGGAUGAAGGCCUUCGGGUUGUAAACUGCUUUUGUACGGAACGAAACGGCGAGCUCUAAUACGGUUUGCUAAUGACGGUACCGUAAGAAUAAGCACCGGCUAACUACGUGCCAGCCGCCGCCGUAA
rnacentral:rRNA from 1 species